CCAGCUUGGCGCCCGGUCUGAUCCUUCCGGGCCUAAGUCCCAUGCCACGCGUCGGUUGAGGCGAGCAGCCCGAGGCCUGUGGAUG
rnacentral:SRP_RNA from 16 species